GCACUGCUGAAUAGUCCCAUACUAAGACGAAACGGCCGUCCAGUGC
rfam:Schistosoma curassoni strain Dakar, Senegal genome assembly, scaffold: SCTD_scaffold0000591